rnacentral:rRNA from 1 species
UACGUAGGGAGCAAGCGUUGUCCGGAAUCAUUGGGCGUAAAGCGCGCGUAGGCGGCUGUUCGAGUCGGUAGUGAAAACUCAACGCUUAACGUUGGGCUUGCUAUCGAUACUGGGCGGCUUGAGUCUGGUAGGGGAGUCUGGAAUUCCUGGUGUAGCGGUGGAAUGCGCAGAUAUCAGGAGGAACACCGGUGGCGAAGGCGGGACUCUGGGCCAGUACUGACGCUGAUGCGCGAAAGCGUGGGGAGCAAACAGG